rnacentral:rRNA from 1 species
UAGUGAGUUUGAUCCUGGCUCAGAGCGAACGCUGGCGGCAUGCCUAACACAUGCAUGUCGAACGGGCGUAGCAAUACGUCAGUGGCAGACGGGUGAGUAACACGUGGGAACGUCCCCCUCGGUUCGGAAUAACUCAGGGAAACUUGAGCUAAUACCGUAUACGUCCGUGAGGAGAAAGAUUUAUCGCCUAAGGAUGAGCCCGCGUAGGAUUAGCUUGUUGGUGAGGUAAAAGCUCACCAAGGCGACGAUCCUUAGCUGGUCUGAGAGGAUGAUCAGCCACACUGGAACUGAGACACGGUCCAGACUCCUACGGGAGGCAGCAGUGGGGAAUUUUCCGCAAUGGGGCAAAGCCUGACGGAGCAAGACCGCGUGA